rnacentral:rRNA from 1 species
CCAAUAGUGUAUAUUAGUGUUGUUGCGGUUAAAAAGCUCGUAGUUGAAUUUCGGGAUUGGGAUAUAUCGGUCGUGCCUUUAGGGGCAUGAAUCGGUGUGUGGCCAAUUCUCUCACCUUCUGGUGAAUUGGGAUGCUCUUGGGUGUUUCAAUGAACUAGGACUUUUACUUUGAAAAAAUUAGAGUGUUUAAAGCAGGCAUUUUUGCUUGAAUACGUUAGCAUGGAAUAAUAAAAUAGGACGAUGGUUCUAUUUUGUUGGUUUUAGGACCACGUAAUGAUUAAUAGGGAUAGUUGGGGGCAUUAGUAUUCAAUUGUCAGAGGUGAAAUUCUUGGAUUUAUUGAGGACUAACUACUGCGAAAGCAUUUGCCAAGGAUGUUUUCAUUAAUCAAGAACGAAAGUUAGGGGAUCAAAGACGAUUUAUGUACGUCGUAGUCUUAACCAUAAACUAUGCCAACUAGGAAUCAGACAAAGUUAAUUUUUUAACGACUUGUUUGGUACCUUACG